GAUGAACGCUGGCGGCGUGCCUAACACAUGCAAGUCGAGCGAACGGACGAUAAGCUUGUGUCUCUGACGUUAGCGGCGGGCGGGUGAGUAACACGUGGAUAACCUACCUAUAAGUCGGGGAUAAUCUCGGGAAACCGGAUCUAAUACCGGAGAAUAUUUUGAACCGCAGGGGUCAAAAGAGAAUGACGGUCUUGCUGGCACGUAUAGCUGCAUCCGCGCUGCAUUAGCUAGUUGGGAAGGUAACAGGCUAUCAAGGCGACGAUGCGUAGCCGAACUGAGAGGGUGGUCGGCCACACUGGAACUGAGACACGGUCCAGACUCCUACGGGAGGCAGCAGUAGGGAAUCUUACGCAAUGGGCGCAAGCAUGACGGAGCGACGCCGCGUGAGUGAUGAAGGCCUUCCGAUCGUAAAGCUCUGUUAUUGGGGAAGAACAUCUGUGUCAGUAACCGUGGACAUAUUGACGGUACCUAAUCAGGAAGCAACGGCUAACUACGUG
rnacentral:rRNA from 1 species